CAUCGGCUGAAUGCGCAUGCGAAGCAAGAGCCGAGCUCGCAUUCAGCCAGUCUCAUAGGAAAGCAUUCUCAAUGCUUUCCUAUGGACGUCAGCGUCUUCUCACUGUGAUUUUCACAGUGAGAAGCGCGGAAGCGCCUCUAGCGGCUGUCAGAGAGACAGCCAUUAGAGGCUGGAUUAACCCUAAAGUAAACAUAGCAGUUUCUCUGAAACUGCUAUGUUUACAGCAGAAAUGGUGAAUCCUAGGUGGACCUGGCACCCAGACCAUUUCAUUAAGCUGAAGUGGUCUAGGUGCCUACUGUAUAGUGGUCCUUUAAGGUUUAAAUAAAAUUUGAAUUCUCACUUUAGUGAAUAACCCAAUAAGUAACUUAAAAGGCUUACACUAACCCUAAUCUUUUGAGGCCAGACUAGCCGCAAUGUCUUCAGCGGGCCCUAACCCUAAUCCUCUGGAUCCUCUGCCCGGCUUUAUGUACCGCAUCCACCUGGUCAAAUUUACAACCAUUUUAUCUUCUUUUCCAGACACCUACAAAAGCGCUAUUUGGAGGGGAGGUCGAAGGGGACAUUCCCAACAAUCGCUACCCAAGAGCCAGGUGAAGCCCCCUUUUCCAAGACCACAGACAGGGGCGUAUCUAGAGCAUUUGGCAACCGAGGCGGAUCCUAAAUCUGCCCCCCACCCCUUAACUUUAAAAUGUAAGAAAAAAACACAACAUGUUUUUAAUAUAUUUAACACUGAGCAGUGUUUAUGUAUGUGUGUAUUUUUUAAUGUAUUUAGCACUGGGCAGUUUUUGUGUGUUUGAAUGUAAG